rnacentral:rRNA from 1 species
GUACGCUGGCGGCACGCCUUAUACAUGCAAGUCGAACGAAGUAGUAAUACUUAGUGGCAGACGGGUGAGUAACAUGUAGGUAUCUUCCCUUUGGUGAGGAAUAACACGAGGAAACUUGUGCUAAUACCUCAUAAGUCUUUACGGAGAAAGCUUUAUGCGCCGAAGGAUGAGCCUGCAUUUGAUUAGUUUGUUGGUGGGGUAAUGGCCUACCAAGACUUUGAUCAAUAGCUGAUCUGAGAGGAUGAUCAGCCACAUUGGGACUGAGACACGGCCCAAACUCCUACGGGAGGCAGCAGUAGGGAAUAUUGCACAAUGGAGGAAACUCUGAUGCAGCGAUGCCGCGUGAGUGAAGAAGGCCUUUGGGUUGUAAAGCUCUUUCGUCGGGGAAGAAAAUGACUGUACCCGAAUAAGAAGGUCCGGCUAACU